UAAUUGGUAGAGUUCCUACUCUUGUUGGUCAAUAAAGUUUGUUACAAUCCUCACAUAGACAACCCUUAAUCUCGGUUCCCUUGAAAUGCUUAGAGUAUCAAGUUGUACGAAAUAUUUGAGGAUAUAUCUUUCUUAUAAAUCUGGAAUGACAUGUUGUACGCAAAUGUAAUGUUCUCGACCAUCAAAAUAUAGCCAAUCCAUCAAAGAAACGAAGACAAAUUAAAAAGAAGCAAAAUAUCACUUCUUUGAGUAUUCAUACCUUGCAUACCGAGAAACAAAUAUGAGAUAACUGAGAUCCUUAAGCACCUUCAUGUUUGUUGGUGGUACCACCUCGACUUCUUAAAUGAUAAGUUGUUCUCCGGCUUCCCAUGAUGAAUUCAAUGUAUUUGUUGGAUGACCUAUUAAAGGAAAGCCUGAAAACUAAACUGCAAUUUGUAUUUCUGUUAUAAAGCAAAAUAUUCAUGUGCGAAUGUCAAACUAUUGAACAUCGAGAAACUCUAAACAUCAAGUGAUAGCUUAGGAUAUAGACAAUAUAACAAUUGCUACUAAGACCAUAAUCUGAACUUGAUAAAUGAAACCACGUACUUAAGACCAUGAAUAAUAUUUUCCCCCUUCCUUUAUUCAGGUUCAGGUACAUGUUCCAUGACUAACAACCUUUAGACUGGAAUUUAUGUCAUCUAGUGUUUUUUGUUACUGUAUUACUACUUCUAAGCUGGUGUUUGUCUAAGAAAAAUUGCCUUAGGUUACCUUUGGCUGAACUAAGAGCUGUGUGUGUAGCUUAUGUUUGUAUAAGUAUUUAUGUUUGUUGUGUAAGGACAAAGUGGUCUAUCUUGGUUAAGAAUAGCUGAUAGACAUCCAUAAAUAUGAUUACAUCUGUGUAAAAUCAUGUCAUCAAUUUGAGGAAAUCGACAACAAAAAAAAUUAUAUGUAAACCUAUAACAUAUCAUUAACUUUCAAAAUUAAGAUCUAUCAUCUAAAAUUGGCAUCAGAGAAUGGCCUUCAUUACCAACAUUAACUUGAAAAUUAAAUACUGAUUGAUCUGAUUCAAUUUGGAGUUUGGCCUCUCAUAUAGAGGGGCUUUCUCUGUCGUGGUUUAUAACAAAUGUGCUACAGGGAGUAAGGUGGGCAAUUGGGCACACAAAAGAACUGCACUAAACCUUCUCUGAAAAAUCCAUUUGUUAAUGAAAUUAAUCGAUCAGUAAUAGGAAAAGAGUAUGUGUAUAAACUAAAUCAUCCGAUUUUCCUAAACUUUGGUUUCACUCCACACCAAUUGCCCAAAUGGAUUGAAGUAUUAAACCAAUAGUUCAAUUUUGGUUUCCUCUUUUAAUUUAUAAAUUGAAAAGCACGUUCGAAUUCCAAGAAGUAUGAAAAAAUAACCGAAUCAAAAUUCGAUCAAUUUCAGAGAACAAUAGAUAGAAGAACCAAUACUGACCUGAAAUAUCGCUAGACGAAUAAAGAGAUUGAAACAUUAAAAGAUAAGAGCAUUCCCAAUGGUAGGUUUUAAAUCUUUUUUAGAUACUUUUAGCUAAAAACUCUUGCCAAUGGUAAAUUUGCCAAGGACUUAAAAAUGCUAUGUAGGAUCACUUAAUUAAUUUAAAGUUAAUUUUAUCAUAUUGUAUACCCAUGGUUUUGGGAAAAGUGAAACUUAAGUUUUUAAAACUUAUUUUGAAAUUAACUGUUGGCAAGUCUAAGGGUGUGUUUGUUUAAAAUGCUGAAUGCUGGAUGCUGAAUGCUGGAUGCUUAAUGCUGGAUACUUAAUGCUGGAUGCUGAACACUGAAUGCUGGAAAAGUUGUUUGGUUAUCAUUUUUAAGAAGUUCUGUUUUUGAUUUGUUUGUUUAUGCAUAAGUGUGAUUUUGACCAUGUUACCCUAUUAUUAGAAAAGUAUUUUGACAAUACACAGUACCUUAUCACAUAACCCAAAAACCUAAAGUUGAUUUGUACUCUGGUUGCGCAAGUUGACCAUUCAGUGUUGUGCUUCAGAUGAGAAUGUUUCACCCUUAGCCAAAAUAUUUGUGUAACUACACUAUAUUGUUACGUCGUACAAACAGAAAAAUGUUCUAACAACAAAAUUAUACACGCCAAUUUUUCUUCUAAAACAUGAUAUUUAAAAAAAAAAUCUUAACCUUUUAAACGGCUCCUCUAAAAAUUCUAAAUUUUGGAUAUGGUACAACAGAAAUCGUCAUGAACAUAUGGAAAAUAUUUCAAAGUGAACAGACAAAGGAAAGAUCCCUUACUAAGCAAACGAAUCUGACUGUAAUUUUUCUUCUAAAACAUGACAAUCACAAAAAAAUCUGUAACUUUCAAACGACUCGUUUAAAAAUUCCAAAUUUUGGAUAUGAUACAAUAGAAAUCGUCAGGAACAUAUAGUAAAACUUUUAAAGUGAUCAGACAAAAGAAAGUGUCCUUAUUAAGCAAACGAAUCUGACUGUAACGUAAUUUUUCUUGUAAAACAUAACAACCACAAAAAAAUCUGUAACUUUCAAACCGAUCGUCUAAAAAUUCUAAAUUUUAGAUAUGAUAUAACAGAAAUCUUCAGGAACUCAUGGUAAAAAUUUCAAAGUGAUCAGACAAAGGAAAGGCCAUUAACUAAGCCAAUGAAUUUGACUGUGAUAUUACUUAAUGGUUAUGGAUGAAAAAAACAAUUUUUAUAAGGGUAGAAUUGUCUAAAUAAUACAACAAGCAUUAAGAAGUUAAAUUAAGCGUGAGAUUUUCGCUGGGCCAAACUCGCUGAAAUAUCCCACUUAGUUCUUAAUGCUUGUUCUAAACAAACAACUUAAAAAACACUUAUUUCUGAAUUUUAACCUGGUCCACCACUUAAGAAGCACUUAAUGCUUAAUGCUUAAUGAAACAAACACUACCUAAAAGUACAAAUCACUUUAACAUUAACUAUAUGCUAAAACCUCCCUCCCCUCUCCUAUGUGGCACCCCUCAAACCCUUUUACCAUUGGGAACACUCUAACAAUAGAUAGAAGAACCAAUACUGAACUGAAAUUAAUAUUCUGUUGAAGAAUAGAUUGAUUCCAGUUGAACAAUAAAAUCUCGAGACUACAAAAUUAAAAGAAGGAUUAAAAUUCAUGCCGAAUUCAAUAAUCUUUACAUCAAUGAAGAAUAAAACACAAUCCGAACGUGAUAGAAAGAUUUGCAAAGGGUGUUGUAGUUGUAGCUUUGAAGAAAGAAAAUAGCCGUGCACGAUAUAUAAAUAAUUCUCUCAGGUAACUACAUAAUGUGCUUUAAAAUUGAGGUGUUCUACAAUCAACUUAAUAAAAUGAAAUUUCCUUAUGGAACUUUGGAAUUACAAUAAGCUCUUUACCAAUCAAGCGUCUUACUGGUGGAGAGACCUAACAACAAUUGAGGAAUACAAAAAUUUAAAGAGCAAUUUUUUUUGAGGAAAAAAACAGGAGAGAUGUACCUUUCCGAAGACGAAGAUGUGAAUUGGGAAGAAGAAGAAUCUAUUUUGGAAGGAAAAGUGUUGUUAAGAAUUUCGGUUUUAAGGCAGUCGUUGGGUUAUU
rnacentral:lncRNA from 1 species